ensembl:lncRNA
AUGCCAAGAAGGACAAGUACUAGAAAGAUGGAGAAUGUACUAUGCUUCUUUGCUGCGCCCAUUAAGACAGCCAGUGCAAAAAUCAGUGUCUCUGUUGUGGUUCAGUCUGAUGAUGAAGGGGGAUUUGGGUUUCAGCAGGUUGACCAAGGAAAUGUUGAAGGCUCUGAAUUGUCAGAGAGGCCGCAGGAUGGCAGAGAAGCUGAAGUUAGUGAUAAGGGUAACCUUUCACAAGAUUGUGAACAUCAACAAAGUCCAGGUGACUCUGGCAGUGAGUCAGAGGAGUCUUCCUUUGAUAGAGACACAAGAUUCUGUUCCUGCCUAGAUUCUGGGUUUGGAUUGGAUUGGUUUGGAUUGUAUUUUGGAGUACAGUAGAGUCUAACUUAUCCAACACUCGCUUAUCCAACAUUCUGGAUUAUCCAAUGCAUUUUUGUAGUCAAUGUUUUCAAUACAUCAUGAUAUUUUGGUGCUAAAUUCAUAAAUACAGUAAUUACUACAUAGCAUUCCUGCAUUUUGAACUACUUUUUCUGCCAGAUUUGUUGUCUAACAUGAUGCUUUGGUGCUUAAUUUAUAAAAUCAUAACCUAAUUUGAUGUUUAAUAGGCUUUUCCUUAAUGCCUCCUUACUAUCCAACAUAUUCGCUUAUCCAACAAUUCUGCCAGCCCGUUUAUGUUGGAUAAGUGAGACUCUACUGUAAUAACAUUAAAACUCAUAUUAAUCAGUUGGCACGUACCUCAAUUCCCUUUCAUCCCAAACAAACAAUCCAAGUUCCAUUAUCAUUUUUCGAAAAAUGCAAUGACUUUUUGUGUUUGCUUUUUUUUUAGUUUUGAUAUUUAAGGUGGACUGUAUCCAAAAGUUGGGUGAUGAGGCCUUGGGCACCUGGACACUCUCUGCCUGUCCAGACUGGGCAAUAAAACGAAAUGCCGUCUCUGGAGAGAGCAGGAGAAAGAAGGAGGAAAAAGAGAGCAGAAAAGAAGAGAUGGGAGUGGGGUGAGGAGCGAAGAAUGGCACACACACAUUCCCAAAAGAGGAAAAAACCUGGGCUAGGAUUCUCCACACACGGCUUAAGCCACGCGUUCAUUUAACUGCAUCCUCUCCCCCUUCUGCCGUCACAGCUCAUUUGACUACGUGACUCUGAGAUUGCCAAGAAGCCUUGGCAAAAAAAAAAAAGUCUUACAUUUCCACUCAUGGAUUCAUUAACCAGCUUUUCCCACGUGGAAAGAACAGAGAGAAUUAUCUAUUUAUCCCAGCCAGAAAAUCCUCCGUGUUUUCAAUCCAGCAAGGACAUUUGGAUAAAGAUGGUUUUGGGUGUGUGGUGUGAUCAGAUUUAAAUGAGAACGAGAGACUGGUCAAGCAAUAAAGGCAUAGUAGAGGAGGGGAAAGGAGGAAGGACAGAUGGACGGACGGAAGGAAAGAAGGUGUAACUCCCUCCCCCCCCCCCCCCAGGUUACUGAUGAACCUUUUGAGUUAGGAGAAAUUUGGGACAAUGAGGCAACAAUAGGAAACCUACUCCUAAGCUGACUGGAGCCAGCAAGGUGUCCUGAGUUGGUUUAAACCAAGGGUCCCCAAACUUUUUAAACAGGGGGCUAUUUCACAAUCCUUCCGACUGUUGGAGGGCCGGACUAUAGUUGGCCACCGAGCAAUAAUAAUAAUAAUAAUAAUAAUAAUAAUAAUAAUAAUAAUAAUAAUAAUAAUAAUUCCGGCAUAUCUAUCUUGUUUGCUGUGUCAUACAAUAAAAUCACAACAACAACAACAACAAAAAAGAGGGUUGGAAGACACCCUUUGGGCCAUUGAAUCCAAUCCCCUUCUGCCUUUGUGCACCAAAAGCACAAGCAAAGCACCCCUGACAGAUGGCCACCCAGCCUCAAUGUUAAUUAUAAUUAUUAUUAUUAUUAUUAUUAUUAAUAAUAAUAUAAAUAAUAGGAAUGAUAAUAAUAAUUAGAACCAUUGAGGCUGGGUGGCUUUUGU